AUUGAACGCUGGCGGCAGGCAUAACACAUGCAAGUCGAACGAGUGGCGGACGGGUGAGUAAUGUCUGGGAAACUGCCUGAUGGAGGUGGAUAACUACUGGAAACGGCAGCUAAUACCGCAUACCAUCGGAUGUGCCCAGAUGGGAUUAGCUAGUAGGGGGGGUAAAGGCUCACCAAGGCGACGAUCCAUAGCUGGUCUGAGAGGAUGACCAGCCAGACGGGAACUGAGACACUGUCCAUACUCCUACGGGAGGCAGCAGUGGGGAAUUUUGCACAAUGGGCGCAAGCCUGAUCCAGCCAUGCCGCGUGUAUGAAGAAGGCCUUCGGGUUGUAAAGUACUUUCAGCAGGGAGGCGUUACCCGCAGAAGAAGCACCGGCUAACUACGUGCCAGCAGCCGCGGUAAUUC
rnacentral:rRNA from 1 species